CACACAUGCUGAGUUAGAAUGUGAAAUUCGUGGCAGAUGUAUUUGUAGUAUUUGUAUGUAGCUGUAGCUUUGCCUUUGCUUUCCUGUGGGUAUGUAUAAAUAUGUCAUUUAUUUCCUUAAGUGUGUCUUGCUGAUGAGGAAAAGUUAUUGGACUAAUCCAGAAAUUGAUCAAUCCAAGGCUAACUAAUUUAUGAAUUUCUGCGAGCCUACUCCCUCGAUUUCAACAUGUUGUGUAUUGUAAAAGAGAUAAUUUUUAAGUGGUUUGACGAUUUAGCAUCUAUUUUCAGGAUAGGCAGUCUCUUCUGUGCUCUUAAUUAUAAUUGUAUUUUAUACUAUUAUAAAACUCUAUAUAUGAAUUCACCUAAAUAGGUCUAUAUUAUAUGCUGACCACUGAUAAAAUCUUUAACGGUUUUAUCCUUUACUAUUAUUAUAUAUAUAUAUAUAUAUAUGUAUGUAUAAAUAUAUAUAUAUAUAUAUAUAUAUAUAUAUAUAUAUAAAAUGUAUAUAUAUGUACAUACAUAUUUAUAUACACACACACAUACAUGUAUGUGUGUGUGCUUGUGUAUCUUCCUUUUAAUUUCAUAUAUUGCAGUACAAUCCUGUAUGAUGCAGCAAGAUCUAGUGGUGCAGGGUAAAUUGCAGUAGUCAAUACUGAACUGCAACCACACAUGCCACAUUUACCACUGCAAAUCAACAAGCAUUCCAACUGUCACUGUGUUCUUACCCAAACAUCAUAGAAUCUGUCAUGCUAUUAUAAACAUGUCACUGUAGAAGCAUACAGCCAGGCAUUUCUUUGACAUUAUCACUUCUGUCAUUUUAUUAUGUAAUGUGUGGACAUAAACUUAUAAAACACAUUCACUAAAUAUACAAUAUGUGUAUUUGCAACUAUAUGUAUAUAUUCAUGCAUGUGUGUGCACACACACACACACACACACACAUAUAUAUAUAUAUACAGGGUGUUUCCAGAAAAUGUAUACACGUUCUUAAUAGGUGACAUCUCAAUUUUCACUUCCUUUUAGAUUUAACCCACUGGAAAUAGAGAAAGGAGCCAGACUAAUCUUUGAACAAAGAGAAUUUAUCUCAAAGUGCUACUGAACAUUUGAAAGUGCUGUUAAAAAUGCAAAGACUGUUUAGGAGGAAGUUUCAAACAGAAAUGUGCAACCUGAGAAUCACAGAAGGAACAUAAUGUUAAUUUACUAGGAGUUACAUAUAAUAUAGUGCAGCUUAUGAAUAGAAUUAAUUGGAGCGUUUCUUUUUAAUGGUACUAUAACUAGUCCCCUUUACUUGAACUUGCUGUGACAAUCUGUCAUGCCAAGCAUGACAGAUUAUCACAGACUUUGAAGAUGUGGAGUUUCA
rnacentral:lncRNA from 1 species